AAGUAAAUACAUGGCAGAGAGUCGUUUCUAACAAAAACUAACAAUUGUUAUUGCUGUCUAAGCUUCAAAAGGGUAAUUUUAAAAUGGGAAGUUAAAGAACAAUUGGAGGAUGACGAUGUGAGCACUAAAGCA
rnacentral:sRNA from 1 species